rnacentral:rRNA from 1 species
UGGGGAAUAUUGCACAAUGGGCGCAAGCCUGAUGCAGCCAUGCCGCGUGUAUGAAGAAGGCCUUCGGGUUGUAAAGUACUUUCAGCGGGGAGGAAGGGAGUAAAGUUAAUACCUUUGCUCAUUGACGUUACCCGCAGAAGAAGCACCGGCUAACUCCGUGCCAGCAGCCGCGGUAAUACGGAGGGUGCAAGCGUUAAUCGGAAUUACUGGGCGUAAAGCGCACGCAGGCGGUUUGUUAAGUCAGAUGUGAAAUCCCCGGGCUCAACCUGGGAACUGCAUCUGAUACUGGCAAGCUAGAGUCUCGUAGAGGGAGGUAGAAUUCCAGGUGUAGCGGUGAAAUGCGUAGAGAUCUGGAGGAAUACCGGUGGCGAAGGCGGCCCCCUGGACGAAGACUGACGCUCAGGUGCGAAAGCGUGGGGAGCAAACAGG